rnacentral:rRNA from 1 species
CCUACGGGGGCAGCAGUGGGGAAUAUUGGACAAUGGGCGAAAGCCUGAUCCAGCCAUGCCGCGUGUGUGAAGAAGGCCUUCGGGUUGUAAAGCACUUUCAGUGGGGAAGAAAGCCUUGGGGCUAAUACCCUCGAGGAAGGACAUCACCCACAGAAGAAGCACCGGCUAACUCCGUGCCAGCAGCCGCGGUAAUACGGAGGGUGCGAGCGUUAAUCGGAAUUACUGGGCGUAAAGCGCGCGUAGGCGGUCUGAUAAGCCGGUUGUGAAAGCCCCGGGCUCAACCUGGGAACGGCAUCCGGAACUGUCAGGCUAGAGUGCAGGAGAGGAAGGUAGAAUUCCCGGUGUAGCAGUGAAAUGCGUAGAGAUCGGGAGGAAUACCAGUGGCGAAGGCGGCCUUCUGGACUGACACUGACGCUGAGGUGCGAAAGCGUGGGUAGCAAACAGGAUUAGAUACCCGUGUAGUC